rnacentral:misc_RNA from 1 species
GUAGGUGAACCUGCGGAAGGAUCAUUAAUGAUGCCCUCGAAGUCUUUGGACUGGUAGAGUUUGUGUCGGUCUCUCCGGAGCCGACCUUAUCUCACACACCGUGAACUGUGGCUUCGGCCAUUUACACAAACUGUUAAUAAUGAAUGUAACAUCAUAACAAACAUAAAACUUUUAACAACGGAUCUCUUGGCUCUC